rnacentral:lncRNA from 1 species
CGAAUCUUGUGUCAUCAGCAUAGUUAGUUAAUUCGAAUUCGGCAAAAAUUCGGUACGGGUAUAAUUCGGAUAAAAUUUGUCUUUUAAUUUUUAAAUUUGUUGAUAAAUACGGCUAAAAAAUGGAUUCGGCAAUUAUUCAGAUACGUGAUUUAUACGAAUAUUAUACGUUCACCAAUUAAAAAUUAAGAAUAAAAAAUUCGGCUAUAUAAUAAAUAUAUAAUAAUUAAUAUACUAUAUAUAUUAUUAUUAUAAUUUUUAUAUAUAGAUUAAAUAUAUUUAAAAUUAUAAUAAAUAUAUAUUAAUAAUAUAUAAGAUUUAUAUAUUUAGAAAUAUUAAUAAAUAAUUACAAAUUUAUAAAUAAAAUAUUAUAUAAUAAUAUUUCUAU